GCUACAGGCUUAACACAUGCAAGUCGAGGGGCAUCAGGAAGAAAGCUUGCUUUCUUUGCUGGCGACCGGCGCACGGGUGAGUAACACGUAUCCAACCUGCCCUUUACUCGGGGAUAGCCUUUCGAAAGAAAGAUUAAUACCCGAUGGCAUAAUGAUUCCGCAUGGUUUCAUUAUUAAAGGAUUCCGGUAAAGGAUGGGGAUGCGUUCCAUUAGGUUGUUGGUGAGGUAACGGCUCACCAAGCCUUCGAUGGAUAGGGGUUCUGAGAGGAAGGUCCCCCACAUUGGAACUGAGACACGGUCCAAACUCCUACGGGAGGCAGCAGUGAGGAAUAUUGGUCAAUGGGCGCUAGCCUGAACCAGCCAAGUAGCGUGAAGGAUGAAGGCUCUAUGGGUCGUAAACUUCUUUUAUAUAAGAAUAAAGUGCAGUAUGUAUACUGUUUUGUAUGUAUUAUAUGAAUAAGGAUCGGCUAACUCCGUGCCAGCAGCCGCGGUAAUACGGAGGAUCCGAGCGUUAUCCGGAUUUAUUGGGUUUAAAGGGAGCGUAGGUGGACUGGUAAGUCAGUUGUGAAAGUUUGCGGCUCAACCGUAAAAUUGCAGUUGAUACUGUCAGUCUUGAGUACAGUAGAGGUGGGCGGAAUUCGUGGUGUAGCGGUGAAAUGCUUAGAUAUCACGAAGAACUCCGAUUGCGAAGGCAGCUCACUGGACUGCAACUGACACUGAUGCUCGAAAGUGUGGGUAUCAAACAGGAUUAGAUACCCUGGUAGUCCACACAGUAAACGAUGAAUACUCGCUGUUUGCGAUAUACAGUAAGCGGCCAAGCGAAAGCAUUAAGUAUUCCACCUGGGGAGUACGCCGGCAACGGUGAAACUCAAAGGAAUUGACGGGGGCCCGCACAAGCGGAGGAACAUGUGGUUUAAUUCGAUGAUACGCGAGGAACCUUACCCGGGCUUAAAUUGCAGUGGAAUGAUGUGGAAACAUGUCAGUGAGCAAUCACCGCUGUGAAGGUGCUGCAUGGUUGUCGUCAGCUCGUGCCGUGAGGUGUCGGCUUAAGUGCCAUAACGAGCGCAACCCUUAUCUUUAGUUACUAACAGGUUAUGCUGAGGACUCUAGAGAGACUGCCGUCGUAAGAUGUGAGGAAGGUGGGGAUGACGUCAAAUCAGCACGGCCCUUACGUCCGGGGCUACACACGUGUUACAAUGGGGGGUACAGAAGGCAGCUAGCGGGUGACCGUAUGCUAAUCCCAAAAGCCUCUCUCAGUUCGGAUCGAAGUCUGCAACCCGACUUCGUGAAGCUGGAUUCGCUAGUAAUCGCGCAUCAGCCACGGCGCGGUGAAUACGUUCCCGGGCCUUGUACACACCGCCCGUCAAGCCAUGGGAGCCGGGGGUACCUGAAGUACGUAACCGCAAGGAUCGUCCUAGGGUAAAACCGAUGACUGGGGCUAAGUCGU
rnacentral:rRNA from 1 species